UACGUAGGGGGCAAGCGUUGUCCGGAAUCACUGGGCUUAAAGCGUGUGUAGGUGGAUUUGUAAGUACCUUGUGAAAUCCCAUGGCUCAACCAUGGAACUGCUCGGUAUACUGCGAAUCUUGAGCCACUUAGGGGCUACCGGAACAAAUGGUGGAGCGGUGAAAUGCGUAGAUAUCAUUUGGAACGCCAAUGGUGAAAACAGGUAGCUGGGAGUGUGCUGACACUGAGACACGAAAGCCAGGGGAGCGAACGGG
rnacentral:rRNA from 1 species